rnacentral:rRNA from 1 species
UAAUACGGGGGGUGCAAGCGUUAAUCGGAAUUACUGGGCGUAAAGCGCUCGUAGGCGGUUUGAUAAGUCGGAUGUGAAAGCCCUGGGCUUAACCUGGGAACUGCGUUUGAAACUGUCAGGCUAGAGUAUGGUAGAGGGAAGUGGAAUUCCGGGUGUAGCGGUGAAAUGCGUAGAUAUCCGGAGGAACACCAGUGGCGAAGGCGACUUCCUGGACCGAUACUGACACUGAGGCACGAAAGCGUGGGUAGCAAACAGGAUUAGAUACCCUGGUAGUCCACGCUGUAAACGAUGUCAACUAGCCGUUGGGAACAUCUAGUUCUUAGUGGCGCAGCUAACGCGCUAAGUUGACCGCCUGGGGAGUACGGCCGCAAGGUUA